UACGUAGGGGGCUAGCGUUGUCCGGAAUCAUUGGGCGUAAAGAGCGUGUAGGCGGCCCGGUAAGUCCGCUGUGAAAGUCGGGGGCUCAACCCUCGAAUGCCGGUGGAUACUGUCGGGCUAGAGUGCGGAAGAGGCGAGUGGAAUUCCACGUGUAGCGGUGAAAUGCGUAGAGAUGUGGAGGAACACCAGUGGCGAAGGCGACUCUUUGGCCUGUAACUGACACUGAGGCGCGGAAAGCGUGGGGAGCAAACAGG
rnacentral:rRNA from 1 species